rnacentral:rRNA from 1 species
UACGGGAGGCAGCAGUGGGGAAUAUUGCACAAUGGGGGGAACCCUGAUGCAGCGACGCCGCGUGAAGGAUGAAGUAUCUCGGUAUGUAAACUUCUAUCAGCAGGGAAGAUGAUGACGGUACCUGACUAAGAAGCCCCGGCUAACUACGUGCCAGCAGCCGCGGUAAU